rnacentral:rRNA from 1 species
CCUACGGGAGGCAGCAGUGGGGAAUUUUCCGCAAUGGGCGAAAGCCUGACGGAGCAACGCCGCGUGAGGGAAGAAAGUCUUUGGAUUGUAAACCUCUUUUCUCAGGGAAGAAGUCAGUGACGGUACCUGAGGAAUCAGCAUCGGCUAACUCCGUGCCAGCAGCCGCGGUAAUACGGAGGAUGCAAGCGUUAUCCGGAAUGAUUGGGCGUAAAGGGUCCGCAGGUGGCAUUGAAAGUCUGCUGUUAAAGAGUCACGCUCAACGUGAUCAAAGCAGUGGAAACUACACAACUAGAGUACGGUAGGGGCAGAAGGAAUUCCUGGUGUAGCGGUGAAAUGCGUAGAUAUUGGGAAGAACACCGGUGGCGAAAGCGCUCUACUGGACCACAACUGACGCUGAGGGACGAAAGCUAGGGGAGCGAAAGGGAUUAGAUACCCCUGUAGUCCUAGCCGUAAACGAUGAACACUAGGUGUUGUCUGUAUCGACCCGGACAGUGCCGAAGCAAACGCGUUAAGUGUUCCGCCUGGGGAGUACGCACGCAAGUGUGAAACUCAAAGGAAUUGACGG